AUGUUCUCCUUGUCCAUGUACCUCGCUUUUGUUUCAGUGACCCUUCGCCUCCCACACAUACACAAGUUUGAAUUUCCUGUUGGCUCUGAGAUGCUUUACCAUGAGCCUCAGAGAGGAGUGAAAAAAUCCAGGGCCUUUUGCAAGGUAGGGUGGCAUUUCUAUGGCAUCAGACUCCCCAUUGGGUCACUAACUGAAGGUCAAACCAUUUCCAAAGGACUUUUCAAAUUCCUCCACUAUACUUGGGUUUGAUUAUAAUAAAUUUUCCUUGAAAUGUCCUGUAGACUGGGAU
rnacentral:lncRNA from 1 species